ensembl:lncRNA
AUGCGAAAGGCCCAACGAGAGAAGCGCGACUCUCAGCGUCUCCCCCCGUCCAGGCUGGAUCUCCAGAUGAGUCCUCCAUGGCCCACACACACCAGAGACGAGUCUGGAUCCUCCACUGGAGCCGCUGCACCUGUUGUUUUCAGGAGUUGGGGAAAGAUAGACACAUGCAGCCUUGGUGAGCAUAAAAUCAUCUUUCAAAAGCAUCAAAAAAUCUCAACAUUUAGACUGGAACAAACAAUGCUGCAAAAGGUUUUUGAUGUCACUGUAACUACAAAAAACACAUUAAUAACUACAUCUCAGUUUAGGCUCGUCAUGGCUGAUGGACUUUCAAAGAAACAUGAAGCGAUUACAGUGGCGUGUUCAGUGAUCAGACUCCCAAACAACAGAUUUUGAAGCAAAGCUUUCCAUAUAAAUAAGAAAAUUAACCACCUAUCUACCUCACCCGGCUGCGUCUCAAUUUCUCGUGUAUUUUUCCAUGCAACAACAUGGAUCUUUGGCCUUAUAGAAAACCUCCAUAUGGAGUUCCAUCUCUCUAUUUCUCUGGAUUUAUUGCCAUGUCUAUCAUGAGCUUUUCCGCCAGAGAAAUGCGAUCCAUCUGCAGGUCUUUCUCACCAGUGUCGUCUCUCCUCUGGGUUUGUACCGCGACACACAACUGUCUGCUGGGAAGAGGAGAGUUCUGGGUCCUUUUUCCCCAUCAGAUUUGGGGUUCAGAGGUCACCGGUGCUCAUUGCCCCAGGUCAGGAGCAGGAAGAGCAGGAUCUAGAACUCCUGAGAGGUUAACGCCAGUCUAGAAAGGUCACCGGCAGGCUUGUUCUGCAUGGAAGUUUUGAUGUGCGGGUGCUGACAAGGAUACGGAGGCCGAGGGUCGACUCUUACACCUCAAAUGGGGUUCGGUGAUACUCAAUAUUCCCCCGAGACCCCGUCUAUGCGCUUUACCCCCAUUUUCCGGUUUUGUGUUGCAUAUUUAACGUCAGAUGGAUUUUGAUGUGUGGCGAAUAUUGUGCCAAUAGAUGGCCUUCUGGGAGAGAAAAAAAAAACAGAAAGAAAAAUAAAAAACGAGGUAUUUCUACAGCAAUGUUUUGAUACGUCCGGUUCAUAAAUGUUUCAUCCGAAGUGAUUCGCUCAUAUCAUGUGUGAGUACGGAGGCGCGUGCGAGUGUUUUAUGUGGAUAUGUGUAAGAGAGAGAGUGUUGUCCGCAUUGGGAGGAGAAGAUGCCCCAGAUGUUGAUAUCGAUGUUGUUUCUUUAGAUUUAUAGGAAGCUUCUCCCACGGGUUUCCCUCAGGGUAAGAAAUAGCUUUUUUUUUUCGCCAAAGCUUCACUCCACACUUCAAUUUAGGCUAUUCUGACUGAUAUAGUUUUGAAGGGAACAACAGCGACUCAAUGACCAUUUCGACGGACUGAAAAAAUAUCACAAAGAUUGAUUUUAUAUCCCUCGGAUUUACGCUAACGACGACUGAGCACAUUGAAGCGGCAAUUAAGAUGUGAAAGAUGUUUAGUUGGAACGAAGUUUUGAAAAUGUGUCAUUUGAGUUUGAAGGCCGGCUGUAAUGAGAAGGAAAUAUCUAUCAGAUGUCGGCGGACGUUGAAGCGUGAACGGGAAAAUGGGCCGGCAUUGGGAAAGAGGCCGUACUGUAUAUGGACCUGUCAGGCCUGUUCAGGCUCAGUGCCCUGAUCGCUUCAUGAUGUGAACUGAAAAGACUCCAUACGGCCCUACCACUAAAACCCAAGAGCCCCAGAAGCCGGUCUGGGGAGAAUUAUGGAACUUCCUGUAGAAAGCACAAGCGUCCUUAAAAGCAGAUUGAGGUGCACAAGUUAAGAAAGGGUUAAAGGGGGGCUGAUAUUACAGGUAAUAAGGAGAAACCCCUCUGACAGAGCUCUGACAGGCGGAGGGUGAAUCCCACAGGCCUUUACUGUAGUAAUCAGUGAUGUGGAAAUACAGGAAGCAGAUAUAUAUCUCACUGACUACUGGGACAAAAACAAGACUGACAAAUAGAAAGAUUAAAAUGAUGUAGCCAGUAAUUAUUUUGGGAUAAGCUGUUCAAGAUGUUCAGAUGUAUUACAUUACGUUGAAAAUCUUGUGUUUAUAGCUUGACUGUUUUCACAAUAUAACAACAUUUUUGAGUAUCACACACGUAAUAAAUAUAGUAAAUAUUUUUUCAGGUCAUGCUAGCUUGUAAAAGGUCAUACCAAAUAUUAGAAGAAUUCCAUAUAUUUUUUUAAAGAAUUUGUACACACAUGAGCCUGUAAAAAAUUAAUAAAAGUGGACCACCAGGUUAUAGGUUGAUCAUUUAAAUAAUUGUAAUAAAUAGGAAAUAUAAAUAAUUAGAAAACAAAUAUGUACACAACUGCAAGACUUUAUAAAAUAUACAAAUAUAAAUGAAAAUAAUAAUAUGAAAUAAAAAUAAUAAAAUAAAUUUCACAAUUGUUUGUUUUGUAUUCAAUAUAAAUGUGUAAUAAACUUACAUGAUGCUAAUAAUAAUAAUAAUAAUAUA